UUGUCUCAAAGAUUAAGCCAUGCAUGUCUCAGUACGAGCCGCAUUAAGGUGAAACCGCGAAAGGCUCAUUAAAUCAGUUAUGGUUCCUUAGAUCGUACCCACACUUACUUGGAUAACUGUGGUAAUUCUAGAGCUAAUACAUGCAAACAGAGCUCCGACCGGAGACGGGAGGAGUGCUUUUAUUAGAUCAAAACCAAUCGGCGGCGGGCGCGCUCGCGCGCGUCCGUUCGCCGCUCAACCUGGUGACUCUGAAUAACUUUCCGCUGAUCGCACGGUCUCGCACCGGCGACGCAUCUUUCAAAUGUCUGCCUUAUCAACUGUCGAUGGUAGGUUCUGCGCCUACCAUGGUCGUUACGGGUAACGGGGAAUCAGGGUUCGAUUCCGGAGAGGGAGCCUGAGAAACGGCUACCACAUCCAAGGAAGGCAGCAGGCGCGCAAAUUACCCACUCCCGGCACGGGGAGGUAGUGACGAAAAAUAACGAUACGGGACUCAUCCGAGGCCCCGUAAUCGGAAUGAGUACACUUUAAAUCCUUUAACGAGGAUCCAUUGGAGGGUAAGUCUGGUGCCAGCAGCCGCGGUAAUUCCAGCUCCAAUAGCGU
rnacentral:rRNA from 2 species